rnacentral:rRNA from 1 species
UACGUAGGGGGCUAGCGUUGUCCGGAAUCAUUGGGCGUAAAGCGCGUGUAGGCGGUCCGGUAAGUCCGCUGUGAAAGUCGGGGGCUCAACCCUCGGAUGCCGGUGGAUACUGUCGGGCUUGAGUACGGAAGAGGCGAGUGGAAUUCCUGGUGUAGCGGUGAAAUGCGCAGAUAUCGGGAGGAACACCGGUGGCGAAGGCGGUUCUCUGGGCCUGACCUGACGCUGAGGAGCGAAAGCGUGGGGAGCGAACAGG